AUUGAACGCUGGCGGCAUGCCUUACACAUGCAAGUCGAACGGUAACGCGGGGCAACCUGGCGACGAGUGGCGAACGGGUGAGUAAUGUAUCGGCACGUGCCCAGUGGUGGGGGAUAACUGCUCGAAAGAGGAGCUAAUACCGCAUACGACCUGAGGGUGAAAGCGGGGGAUAGAAAGACCUAGCGCAAUGGGAGCGGCCGAUAGCAGAUUAGGUAGUUGGUGGGGUAAAGGCUCACCAAGCCAACGAUCUGUAGGUGGUCUGAGAGGACGACCAGCCACACUGGGACUGAGACACGGCGCAGACUCCUACGGGAGGCAGCAGUGGGGAAUUUUGGACAAUGGACGCAAGUCUGAUCCAGCCAUGCCGCGUGCGGGAAGAAGGCCUUCGGGUUGGAAACCGCUUUUGUCAGGGAAGAAACGCUCUGGGUUAAUACCUCGGGGUAAUGACGGUACCUGAAGAAUAAGCACCGGCUAACUACGUGCCAGCAGCCGCGGUAACAC
rnacentral:rRNA from 1 species